AUACGUAGGGAGCAAGCGUUGUCCGGAUUUACUGGGUGUAAAGGGUGCGUAGGCGGCUAUGCAAGUCAGGCGUGAAAUCUGUGGGCUUAACCCACAAACUGCGCUUGAAACUGUGUAGCUUGAGUGAAGUAGAGGUAGGCGGAAUUCCCGGUGUAGCGGUGAAAUGCGUAGAGAUCGGGAGGAACACCAGUGGCGAAGGCGGCCUACUGGGCUUUAACUGACGCUGAAGCACGAAAGCAUGGGUAGCAAACAGGAUUAGAUACCCUGGUAGUCCAUGCCGUAAACGAUGCUCACUGGGUGUGGGUCGAAAAGAUCUGUGCUGAAGCUAACGCGAUAAGUGAGCCGCCUGGGGAGUACGUCCGCAAGGAUGAA
rnacentral:rRNA from 1 species